CAAUUGUAUACUAAAAUUUUAGCACUCUAAAAGAUCUAGAUUCUUAUAGGUUUAAGUUUUUAUAUUUGAAGUUGUUAAAAUGUCGAUAAAACAGUAUAAAACAGCAUAUUAAGUACGCGAAAGACGUUGAGGCUUUAAUCUAGUCGAUAAUCUAGUCGGCUAGAUAUUAAUUUAUCCUCUAGAUAUUAAUUUAUCUAGAAUCUAGCGGCUUCUUACCCAGCAUGGCAGCACACGUCCUCCAUCUGUCACUUUGCUCUCCAUCGCAAUAAUCUAGUCGGAUCUACUGCCCAAUUGAUAUGCUGUACUUCUCCAACGGCAAGCGGGUGGGCGAGAUCAGCCGGCCGCGGACGGGCGGGAGCUGCGACUGUCGGCUCUACCAAGCUCUGCGCAAGUGGGCUUCGGCAAGCUCGCCCGGGCACAAGCGGGCAGGAGCCGUGGGGCAGGCUCCGGCGCCACGGGCGGCGAGCUCCGCGUACGAAGGCUUCGGCAAGCUCGGCCGGUUGCAAGCAGGCGAGAGCAGAGCGGGCUGGCUCCGUCGAGCACGGCCAGCCGCGUGCAGGCGUAUGGUCGACGAUCCUCGCUACCUCCAUGUAUGUAUCCAGCUGGUAAAAAAAUUGUUUCUAACUAGGAUGGAAAAUGACUAGGUAAGUUUGAGCAGCCCAUCAUAUCCUGAGCUCCUUUUGGCUUCGGAGGCCUUGUUGUGAGAAAUUAUCUUACUGGGUUUCUUCAUUAUGUAGAUGGACUAUGAGGUGGAUGCGAAGCCAUUGCUCAAGAAGAUGGAGAGGAAUGGAAUAGGCCUUAAGAGAGCUUCAUUUAUAUGGCUUAAUGCACUAUAUUAUGACAAGCACAAGAGGUUCAAUGACGCAAAGAAGAUGUACAAUCUGGGGAUCCAGAACCUGACAGAGCCUAUCAGUGAGUUGCACAAAGCACAUGAACAGUUUAUUCUUCGAAUGGAAUCAUACAAGAGAAGGAAAGAUAAACUGCAGGAAAGAAUGCCUAGGAAAGCUGAUCCAAGUCCUAAUGUGUCUUUUGUACUGAUGUCCUGUGCACGCUGGUUUUAGCUUUCUAGAACGCACAAGAAUACUUGGAAAUGGGUAGAUGAGAUCCGCUUUUAUUGCAAAGGUCAUGUGCACUCGACCUUCUUGGCUAAUUCCUUUGUACUGAUGUACGUGUUGCUGCGGGCAAGGACUAAUUAUCUUUUCUGUAAUAAGAUCCUUGAAGCUCCUUAUGAGGAGGAAGUCUCACUGCUUUUGAAAAUAUUCAGGUGAGUAUACUUAUGAAAUCACAUGCCUGAUAUGUGCUUCUCUUUGUUUUUUAUUUUUCAAAUGUGAACAACACAUUGGCAACACACUAACCCAUGCAUUGUUCCUGCAAUUCGACAUGAUGUGAUAUGUGAAACUCUUUUUGAGUAAAACAGCUCAUAAGGAUGGAGGUAAGCUACAAUCAUCCUGUCUGCUUAUUUACACACUGCAAACUGAUCACUAAAACUUGUUUUUGAGUAAAACAGCGCAUAAUUUUAGAGCUAUCCUGUCCUUGAUUACAUGUUUAAUUGCAUGUAGAUUUAUGGUGCUUGGAUAUGCUGUAAUAUUGAUGCUCCAAGUUCCGGAAAGGCGCCUGAUGGACUAGAUAGCCUGUUGCUUGGAUAUGUUGUAACAUUGAUGCUCGAAAUGCUGGACAUACACCUGAUGUGGAUAGGAUGGCCUGAUGCUCAGAUGUGCUAAAGUGUUAAUGUUUCAAAUACUUAGGGUAGUCAGUCAUGGUGCUAAGAUGUGCUGUAAUAUUGAUGUUCCAAUUUUUCGAACAGACACUUGAUGGAUAGAAUAGCAUAUGCUCUCAGAUAUGUUGUAAUAUUCAUGAUUCAAAUGCCGGAUAGACAUAUACAAUGGAUAGUGUACUCACACUGCUGAUUUUGUGUUGAAUUUAUCCUAUGCAAUGUAUGCUAUUUGUCACAUCUUAA